AUGCGAGCGUUAUCCGGAUUUAUUGGGUUUAAAGGGUGCGUAGGCGGGCCUUCAGGCCGGCGGUAAAAUUGCGGGGCUCAACCCCGCCCAGCCGUCGGAACUGGGGGCCUUGAGUGCGGCGGAGGCAUGCGGAAUGCGCGGUGUAGCGGUGAAAUGCAUAGAUAUCGCGCAGAACCCCGAUUGCGAAGGCAGCGUGCCGUGCCGCCACUGACGCUGAGGCACGAAAGCGCGGGGAUCGAAC
rnacentral:rRNA from 1 species